rnacentral:rRNA from 1 species
CCUACGGGAGGCAGCAGUGAGGAAUAUUGGUCAAUGGGAGAGAUCCUGAACCAGCCAAGCCGCGUGAGGGAAGACGGCCCUAUGGGUUGUAAACCUCUUUUGUCGGAGAACAAAACCCGGGACGUGUCCCGGACUGCGUGUAUCCGAAGAAAAAGCAUCGGCUAACUCCGUGCCAGCAGCCGCGGUAAUACGGAGGAUGCGAGCGUUAUCCGGAUUUAUUGGGUUUAAAGGGUGCGUAGGCGGUGCGUUAAGUCAGCGGUAAAAUGGCGGGGCUCAACCCCGUCGAGCCGUUGAAACUGGCAGACUUGAGUUGGCGAGAAGUACGCGGAAUGCGCGGUGUAGCGGUGAAAUGCGUAGAUAUCGCGCAGAACUCCGAUUGCGAAGGCAGCGUACCGGCGCCAGACUGACGCUGAGGCACGAAAGCGUGGGGAUCGAACAGGAUUAGAUACCCGAGUAGUC